GCAUUAGUGGGGUAGUGGUAACCUGGGUCGUUGCCAUAGUAUUAUUCCAGCGAUAAAACAUCGACCCGCCGGGGGUUCGAUUCCCUCUUAAUGCA